rnacentral:rRNA from 1 species
GAUGAACGCUGGCGGCGUGCCUAAUACAUGCAAGUCGAGCGAACGGACGAGAAGCUUGCUUCUCUGAUGUUAGCGGCGGACGGGUGAGUAACACGUGGAUAACCUACCUAUAAGACUGGGAUAACUUCGGGAAACCGGAGCUAAUACCGGAUGAUAUUUUGAACCGCAUGGUUCAAAAGUGAAAGACGGUCUUGCUGUCACUUAUAGAUGGAUCCGCGCUGCAUUAGCUAGUUGGUAAGGUAACGGCUUACCAAGGCAACGAUGCAUAGCCGACCUGAGAGGAUGAUCGGCCACACUGGAGCUGAGACACGGUCCAGACUCCUACGGGAGGCAGCAGUAGGGAAUCUUCCGCAAUGGGCGAAAGCCUGACGGAGCCACGCCGCGUGAGUGAUGAAGGUCUUCGGAUCGUAAAACUCUGUUAUUAGGGAAGAACAUAUGUGUAAGUAACUGUGCACAUCUUGACGGUCCCUAAUCAGAAAGCCACGGCUAACUACGU